UAGCACCUGAGGACAGAAGUUGUUCAUGUUAUUUAGAGUUUUUGUUCACACCAGGAGUGAAGGCGUAUGUGACAAGCUACAGUUCAUUGUAUUAGUAAGUUGACGGUUGUUUUUUUAAUGUUGAACAUCGCGCCCGCCGUAGACUCGGUAAAAGUUACAUGCUUCGACAGUUGGGAUACCACACUCGCUCGUGAUUAUUUUGUGGUGUAAUUCAAAUUUGCAAAUGCAGUCAUCCGUUAAAUCGAGCGCCCAAAUUAAAAUGAGUCACCAUAGCUUGCGGUAAAUCGAUGUUCACGGAGGAUAGUCCGGUAAAGUGAUUAAUGUACGUAACCAUCUAGAUAUACAGUUUAUGUAUCGGAGGCCAGCUGAGAGCUUGAGCAAAAGACGUUAGCGACACCCUCAUUGUAUAGCAGGCCUGUCUCCCAAAUAGGACCGUUGGAGGGUGGGAGUGAGACCCGUUACAAAAUACUAGUGUGACAAUUUCUUGACCGUGACAUCCCUAACGUUAGUUUGAUUACAUUUCUGUAUAAGUACGGUUUUAAGUGACACACUUUGCCAUGCAGGCCACUGGAUGCUGACUACUGAAGGUUAGGUUGUGUGUGACGGUGCUCAGCACAGCUUCAUGUCUGGCCUUCCCACUCUGUUCAUAGCAUGUUACAUAUUCAGGCUUGAGUACCAGGAUGGGGCAGCAUGUACUUGGAGUCCAAUGAAAGAUAUUAAUCCAGAGAGUGGAACAAGAAGCGUCAUCUAAAAUGCCAGGAUACAGAAGAAACAGGUUGCAGUGAACCCACAUGUCGCCGCUCUUCUAAACACAAUGAUGAAUAUUCAGUGUAAUCGAUGAAAAUUCCAGCUACUUGUUGUGCUCUGAUGGAUCAAGAUGUGGACCGUUUUACAGACUCACUUGGGCCUUGUUUUGCAAUGUUGUUUCAUGAUGGUAAUGUUGGUUAACGUGUUGUUUAAACAUGAAUGUUUAAAGAGCCAUGUUGGAUACUAUGAAGUUGUUA